rnacentral:rRNA from 3 species
GCGGCGGACGGGUGAGUAACACGUGGGCAACCUGCCCGCAAGACCGGGAUAACUCCGGGAAACCGGAGCUAAUACCGGAUAACACCGAAGACCGCAUGGUCUUCGGUUGAAAGGCGGCCUUUGGGCUGUCACUUGCGGAUGGGCCCGCGGCGCAUUAGCUAGUUGGUGAGGUAACGGCUCACCAAGGCGACGAUGCGUAGCCGGCCUGAGAGGGUGACCGGCCACACUGGGACUGAGACACGGCCCAGACUCCUACGGGAGGCAGCAGUAGGGAAUCUUCCGCAAUGGGCGAAAGCCUGACGGAGCGACGCCGCGUGAGCGAAGAAGGCCUUCGGGUCGUAAAGCUCUGUUGUGAGGGACGAAGGAGCGCCGUUUGAAGAGGGCGGCGCGGUGACGGUACCUCACGAGAAAGCCCCGGCUAACUACGUGCCAGCAGCCGCGGUAAUAC